rnacentral:rRNA from 1 species
GGUCAAGCUACGAAGGGCGCACGGUGGAUGCCUAGGCGAUCAGAGGCGAAGAAGGACGUGGACAGCUGCGAAAAGCUCCGGGGAACCGCUAACAGGUUUUGAUCCGGAGAUCUCCGAAUGGGGAAACCCGCGCAGGGACUGAUCUCCGAAUGGGGAAACCCGCGCAGGGACUUACCUGCCAGCCAUACGGUGAAUACAUAGCCGUACGGCAGCCAAGCCAGGGAACUGAAACAUCUAAGUACCUGGACGAAAAGAAAGCAAGAGCGAUUCUCCUAGUAGCGGCGAGCGAACGGGGAACAGCCUAAACCUGCUCAGUGCAAGCAUGCUGGCGUUGCUGAGCGGGGGUCGUGGGAUCUUGAUGGGAGAGCGGCAUCUCUCCCGCCGAGUAAGAAAAAGCUGAGCUAGCAGAACGGCAUUGAAUGGCCGGCCACAGAGGGUGACAGCCCCGUAGGCGAAAGCGAAGCUUCUCGGUCCAAGACACCCGAGUACCGCAGGACACGUGCAAUCCGGCGGGAAUCUGGGAGGACCAUCUUCCAAGGCUAAAUACUCCUGAUCGACCGAUAGUGAACCAGUACCGUGAGGGAAAGG